GCCUUCGCGAGCGUCUGGGCGGGUGGUAGGUGAGUGGGUAUUGCGGGCUAGUAUCCGAGCAAAAGAUGGUGGCGCAGGCCGAGUUAAGAGCUUUAAUCCUGUGAAGACAUCUUAGUGAAGAGUUUAGAGUGCUGAGAGUUGAAAGCUUGCACGUGGGAAACGUGCGGCCGGACUGCCACAUGUACUGAGGUUGAGUCGUGACGGCCACAGGCUCCGAGUUUUGGCGUGAGGAACCGCUGAUCGGCCACGGGCGCCGAACUUGCUGGCCUCCGGCAUGUGCCUGAGCGGCGGCGGAAAAACCACCUUAAUUGGGGCGGAGGGUUAGUUUUAACAGCAAAGGGCCUUUACUAAAAUGGCGAAGGCCUUCCGUCGGCGUUGUUUUAAAAUGGGAAGCCUCGACCCUGUAUUGAAACUGAGCUGUUCGAAGGCGGCGUUGUGUGCAAUUCGGAUUAAUGAAGGGGAAGGGUUUUGUGUGGAAAAACGCCUUGGAGUGUGACAUUUCUGCGAGAAUGCUUAAAUACCGAUUUCCCGCAGGAACAAUGGCGCUGUCUUCAGUGGCACAGUGGAGCAGCUCUGAAGAUGCAAAGAUACACGAAAAAACUUCCAGAACAUCUGGGAGAAUAUUUAAUGGAAAAUCGCUUGGUUAAAACCUGACACUUUUAACAGGUAUGUGUUGUUUUAGUACUUUAUGAUUGAGCAUAGCAUUUAAUCCACACCUAGACUAAAUCAAAUUUUUUUUGUCAGUGAACAGCGUUCUGAGUGUGGACGAGUAGCCAGUGAAGAUAAUGAAUGUCGAAUGUGACUGACUAGCAGCUUCAUUUUGAAUGAGGGUCGCUGUCUGCCCAUUGAUAGAGGCCAGAUUGUCUUGGAAGUUCCAAAGUUGCAACGAUUUCUGGCUAGUGCCACGAGGUUUACUUGACUGUUGUGUGAAAAGCUGAUAAGAAAACCAUCCAGAAAAAAGCUCUUCGUUUUACAAACAUGAAAAUAAAACAUGUAAUUUUGGAUUAUGUUCCUUUUUGUUAUUACUUUUAAAUAGGUCCUGAAAUAACAUGGGGAGCAUUAAAUGGAAAAUCCACUA
rnacentral:lncRNA from 1 species